rnacentral:rRNA from 1 species
UACGUAGGGGGCAAGCGUUGUCCGGAAUCAUUGGGCGUAAAGAGCGCGUAGGCGGUCCGGUAAGUCCGCUCUGAAAGUCCGGGGCUCAACCCCGGGAGGCGGGCGGAUACUGUCGGGCUAGAGUCCGGAAGAGGCGAGUGGAAUUCCUGGUGUAGCGGUGAAAUGCGCAGAUAUCAGGAGGAACACCAAUGGCGAAGGCAGCUCGCUGGGACGGUACUGACGCUGAGACGCGAAAGCCAGGGGAGCGAACGGG